CAGAGUUCUCGCCCUUACGGGUAGAUCUCCCACCCACUGUUAUCGUUACUAUCGUUGCUUUGGCGGGCCGCCGGGUCCCGCCCGGCCCCCGGCCCCGGCUGGGGCGCGCCCGCCAGAGGCCCUCUAAACUCUGAAUGUCAGUGUCGUCUGAGUACUAUAUAAUAGUUA
rnacentral:misc_RNA from 2 species